AUGGGAUCCAAGAGAGCAAAUUCAUUCAGCUCCUGCAUAUCCCUACGCUGCAGGUUGGGGGCUGGGAGGUGGGGCAGGGACUCCCAGGGAGGGUUUUUGUAUGAGACUUUGUCACUGUGUUGGGUGUUCGGCGGAGGGACCCAGCUGACCGUCCUAGGUCAGCCCAAGAGCGCACCCUCCGUCACUCUGUUCCCGCCCUCCUCUGAGGAGCUCAGCACCAACAAGGCCACCUUGGUGUGUCUGGUCAAUGACUUCUACCCCGGCGCUGUGACCGUGGCCUGGAAGGCGGACGGAAAGCCCAUCAGCCAGGGCGUGGAGACCACCAAGCCCUCCAAGCAGAGCAACAGCAAGUAUGCGGCCAGCAGCUACCUGAGCCUGACCUCCAGCCAGUGGAAAAGCCACCAGAGUGUCACCUGCCAGGUCACGCACGAGGGCAGCACCGUGGAGAAGACAGUGGACACCAACGCCUGUUCUUAGGCCCCUCAGGCUCCCCCACCCUCAGGGGCCUGGAGCCUCAGGACCCCCAUGGGUCUCCCUCCCCACCCCACCCAUCUCCACCCUUCAUCCUGCAAACAAUCCAUUCUCA